CCAGGGAAACCGCCCUCCUAGUAUCCGCGCGCGGCGGUUGAACUGCUCCCAGCGAGGCAACCGCCUGCGAACGCCAGUUAGGGGAGAGGCGUCUCGGAGACUCAGAGACACCAAGGCCCCUGCGACGAGGUGGCUGCCGCUAGGGGGCGUCAGGACGACGUACCGGGUUCGAGUUGGGCCCGCCUUUUCCGCCCGCGCCCCAGGCCCGUGCAGUUCGGCAUUCGCGUCCGAGAGCGGGAAAGAAGCAGUGGCCAAGGCGCCGAUUUUAUUUGGAGAGAAGCAAGCAUCUUUGCCUCUUUGGAGUAGGAAAUUCUGACUUGGAAAAGUGGUGUGUGGUUGACUCUGUUUCUCGCCAUGUCUUCUCACAAGACUUUCACCAUUAAGCGAUUCCUGGCCAAGAAACAAAAGCAAAAUCGUCCCAUCCCCCAGUGGAUUCACAUGAUGAAACCUGGUAAUAAAGUCAGGUACAACUCCAAAAGGAGACACUGGAGAAGAACCAAGCUGGGUCUAUAAGGAGUCACACUUGAGAUGGCACACAUAUUUAUGCUCUAUCAAGGUCACGAUCACCUUACGAUAUCAAGCUGAAAAUGUCACCACUCUCUGGAUAGUUGUACAUGUUUUACUCUUUUUCUAUAUGUUCCGUGCUAGUAGGGUGGAUUCAGUAAUAAAUAUGUGAAAGCUUUCGUUUCAGAAA